GAAUCCCAUUUUAUGAAGAAUCCAUUGCCUCACAAUGAUGGCACCACUGUCAAUUAUCACAAAGCAAAUUCUCCAUUCUAAAGGGGAUGGCCAUUUUGGAAAGUACACGUGACUGGAGAGAAGGGGCUUUAACAUGAAUGAUUUUGUACCCAGCUCCGACAGUGUUGAUGAAGAGGGUAAAGAACUUCCACAAGCCACGCUAUACAAUCUUUCAUCAGGUGUCAAGUGCCCACGGAAGAUUUCUAUAGCCCGUGUUCCUGUCCGCCCAGGUCAAAGGUACUACACUGUCUCACACUUGUAAGAUUUAAAAAAAAAAAAACAUCUUCACAUCUGACUCAAGAGAACGUUCACGUUGAAAGUAGCCAUGACCCAAGUGCCAGGGAAAACGCAAUUACUCAUCUCACUCAAAUGCUUUCAUUUCCAAGAAAAACUUCGGGCCACCAUUGAGAAUUCAAGUUCACGGAAACAAAGUUAGCGGAUAACAAACACAGUCAGUUCUAAAUUCCUAAGUCUCUAAUCCACUUGCCUUUCUGUCUGUGUGCCAAUCUAGCGUGACCUUGCAUACUUUGCUGGUGAGGACCUGAGGACACAUUGCCGCGGUCGUCCUCAGGUAGUGGAGGGCUGCGCACACCCCAAGAGCGAGGCCUAAGGAGGGGGCUGAGUUGGCAUUUGAAAGGAGGACUCGGGCUGCUCGCUUUGUGGGACUUUGUCACUGUGCUUCAAAUGUACUCAAUCAUCUGUCAUCUCACCGGGGAAACCAUCAUUAUGACCGUCAAAACCUGGGCUAUUAAUUUCUGGAUCUGAGGGUGUUGACAUCACAGUCAUUACAUUUUGAACCUAAUUUACUUUAAAGGCCUCUGAGUUAAGAACAACUUUCUGAACUUUCAAAGUUACGUAUUCCUCAAUGAGGGCACGUUAAAAGAGAAGCUUUCCUGAUUAGCCUGGCUACCUGUUUUGGAGGCCCCCUGCCUCAAGGUAAUAAAGUAAAGGCACAGGAGCUUUACUGUUU
rnacentral:lncRNA from 1 species